CAAGUGAUUCUCCCGCCUCGGCCUCCCAAAGUGCUGGGAUUACAGGCAUGAGCCACGCCCCCAGCCUGAUAAAAAAAUAUAAGCUUCAAAGGACACAAAAAGAGGGCUUUUGCACACGCAGUUGUCUAAGGUGAUUGGUGAAUGGUUUUGGGGGGCUGAUUGCAGAGCCCACCAGGCGGCAGGGCUGGCGUGCACAUUCUCCAGGACCCCACGUUCACACUCACUGUCCUGGACAUCUUCCCUGCACUGCUAGGACACCUCGUUCUUUAUUCACUAAGCUCUUUCCUGGCUCAGUGAGAGAACAUUCAGAGGCCCCAGCAGCAGAGGAAUAACAGGCUCCAGUGGAGAAGGGACCGGGAAGGAAGUAAUUGGAAAUCUCUCUUCCUCCCAGGUUCUAUCUCCUCUGCUCACUCCCCACUGCUGAGGGUCGGUACAAAGGGGGGUGACACACUCCCACCCCAUCCUUGUCACACUGUGAUCUCCCCCAACGCAUCAGUGCCUGCACCUUCCAGGCUCCGGAAAGACGAUGUGCCCUUUCUGCUUUGGAAAAUCACAGUUCUCAGAAGACCAACAGAAAUGCAUGUAGAAAAUGAUGGAAAUUACUGGGUAUCAGAGGACACGAUGACCUGAAUGAAAAGAAAGAUGAAUGGGUCAAUGAGAACAUCUGAAAAGUCUGGAGUAUCACUGAGGAAAUAGAGGGCGAUUGAGAAUCCGAAAGUGAAUGGAAACCUACAACAGAAGUGAGAUAUGCUUUUCUGUUGUCACCUCAUCGGACUGUGUGUGAUGACACAAAUGCCAAUAGCCGGCAAACUGCGAGGAACCGAACAUGAUCCUGACAGUCUCAGGAGUGCCCCCGCUGAAUGAUUUUUAAGUUGAAUAUCUGACUAAAAUAAAUAAUUGUCUCAUUUC